UUCACGCGUACGACCACACUUUUUUUAUUGCAAAAACACUAUUCAAAGUGAAUUUAUUCCAUAUUUCUAACUUUUUCUUCUCUUCAUAUCUAUCUCUUCACUUCCAUCAUUAUGGAUGCAAUCUGUCAGAUUUUUCUCCCUCAGUUAUCCAUAAUAAUCCCAAACAAAUCUUCAAUCCCACUCAACUCAAAUACAAAUCUAUUUUCCUAAUCAACAGUUUGUACUUCACGUCUUUUUAAUUUAAUUUGCCUUUGAGAAUUGAAGGAAAUAGACCCCAAUAACCCACACAAACUACAGCCAUAACAAAUGGAGAACGAGGACAAGAAAUCGGCGGUUUCCAUAUGUAGGAGCAUGGGGCAUGAACAUCGUCAGUUCCGUUGAGGAAUUAGACGACGGUGAUGAAAAAGGUAUGCAAUUUCGGAGAUGCAGUCGAGAUGUUCGACGAAAUGCCUGAGAGAGGAUUGCAAAUGCUAAUAUUCAGUGUAUGCACAGUUCUUCAUUGGACCACAGUUGUCGGCGAUGCAACUAUGAGAGAAAUUAAAGCUGUUUACUUGAAUGAGUUGAAGGCUGAAUUUUAUUAAUACUGUGAGGUCUGGAGACAUUUUUCUCAUUUAGAUGUGUGCAUAUGAGAAUUGGAGUACUUUUUAUAGCAUAAUCUGAUUUUGUUGAAAUUGUUAUAUCACAUCAGAAAUAUUAUCACUUUUAUCAUAAUUGAGAAUGGUAUAUAAUAGUAAAUUUAUUUUUAUUUGUUUAAGAAGUUGGUGGUGUUUUUUGUUUUUUAUCUAUACAAUUUAUUUGGUAUAUUUUGACUACUUUUUAUACAAUUGAUAAAUCCAUUAGUAAACAUGAAGAUGAUUGUCUAUUAUUUUGUUUGUAUUUUAUAUUUUUUGUAUGAAAUUAAUAGUUUGCUAUACGUUUUCUAAUGGUGUUUUUUCUGUUUACCAGAUUUAACGGUUUGCUAUAGAUUUUCUAAUGGUGUUUUUAUGUUUAUCAGAUUCUAUAUUUUUUUCUCAUAUGUCUGUCAUUUUAAUUCUACUUUGUGCUUGUUUUUCUUCAAAAUCUUACUUACAGGUGCAACUUAAUUUUUUGAAUAAUUUCAAUUGCAGUCAUGGAGAAACAUCUCUUUAUUUUUAUUAUAUGUAUUUUAUUAAAUAAUUUUUAACAUUUCACUAAAAGGUUACUAAUUUUAUAUAUUUUCGUUGAUCAACAAUGGGAGCGUAUUGCAUUUUCUUUUGUAUCAAUAUGCGAACAUGAAGAUGACUGAAAAUAUUGAGAGUGACGAAGAGGUUGAAGUUAAGAAGACGAAUGUGGAA